AAUUUUUGUAUAAAAUUUUUAUUUUAUAUAUCAAAUUACCCAUAUAUGGAACUUUUUGUGAACCCCUGCAUAUUCGAUACAUCCGGGUUCAACUGUAUUGAAUCAUAAAGCAAUUGAAUUAUUGCGCUAUCUAGGUGUCACACGCUUACGUGUGUGACACCUAAAUCAAAGUUGAAUUAAGUAACCUAGUAUAAAGUUCAAUUAACGCACCGGAAUCUGUCAGCCAUCGCCUACACGCAUGUAGGUGAUUGCUGACAGAUUCUGUCUCAAUUUUGUCACAAUUUUUGAGAUAAGUAAGUUAAACAUAUAUAUAUGGCUGGUGAGUGAGUGAGUGAGUGAAAUAACUUUGAUGAGGUCCAGAGAAGACGCAGGGGAGACCCUGCACUAACCGGCUAGUCCCACGUAAGGACCGCCAAGCCGAGCUUGACGGCCCGAUCGCAGGCACUCUGGACGGCCAUGGUUUGGUCGUCGAGUUCGGGGCUGCCCAAAAGCGCAGCCCACCUAUCCUCGCUGAAGGCGGAGCCGAUGGCUUCACACUCCCACAACACAUGGUUCAAUGUUGCCGUGUCUCACGAAGACUGGAAAAUCGCUUCAUUUUUGCACUGCGAGUCUGCGCGACAAUGAUGGCAGCAGCGUGCUGCAUAGCGUAGUCUAACGUGGCCGCCGUGGGAUCAUGCGAUGAGCCCUUGCACCACUGCAACAUUCAACUUUUGGGCGGGGCUUCAAUUGCCCCUUUUGGUUUCUCUGCUGUGUAACGUUGAGUGCUCUAGCAGAGACGGAAAGAAAGAUAACUCCACUUAUAGCUCCCAAACAUUUUUGUGGCACGACAUUCUUGAAAUGUCGUUUAAUAGUGAGGCCCAUUCCAUGAUUAGACAAAGUGUUUCAGGGCCCCUUUAAGACUGUUGUUCUUGUGACAAACAGCAAAAAAAAAAAAAAAAAAAGAUUCAGAAAUGUAUUUCUGGUCUCUUAAUUAUGUCAACAUGGGAAUCGAUUGUAUGUUCACAAUUUCGUGCUAUAUGCUCGACUUGUAAAACAGGCCGAUAUAUUCAGUUGUGUAUGUUCGUUGUCUUCCCUUUGAUGUCUUUUGAGCUGUGGGAGGAUACUAUACUUCGCCUUUUCCUUUAAGUUGACAGGAUUGCUGUUGCAGAAUUCCCCGAGGAGGACUGCAGCUUAGCAGUUGUUCAUGGUUCAUGGUUGAAUGAAAAAAGAAAUAGGACAUUUUGGCCUUUUUUUUUGAAAAAUUCAUCUCAGCGGCGUAGAGCCACUGUUGAGGGUGCUGCACCAUCCCCUAGCUUGACACAGGCCAACUGUGUGGUGAAAUCCUGGGCUGACACUUACGAAAAGGCGUGUGAAAAGCAGAACUUCCUGCAGUAUCACUCGGACAUGAGCUGCGAAGAGGAAUUGGGAUGCGGAAAAAGAAAGAAACGAAGUGCCUUGGCUUCUGAUUACAGCAGUGAACAAGAGACAACUGACAGCUCGGGUGAUGAUGCAAAUUACGAACCUCCCAGGCCACCAACACCGCCUCGACUAAUGACAAACAUUGGUGGCUAUGACACAGCUGCUGCCCACGCAUCAUUCAAGACGCCUGGAUGACACCAAAAGAAGCGCUCUGCAGCCCAUCGCUAUGAAGCAGAUUUGACUGCGAGACUUAAUACACAACAGCACCAUCCUGCUUCGGUGAGUCCUGCCACUGAAAAUGGACAGCGGCAACUUUAUGCUCGUGAAUACCAAAUUUUUUGUCUUCAUUGUAAGCACAAUAUUACUCUUGAUAAAUCAAGAAGCUAAACUUGUGUAUAUGUUUACUAACACAACGUUACGAAGCAAAUUUGACUCAUUCCCCACAAGGAUGCACGCAACAGCUCACUCGUGACAUGUUAGUGCUGCUCAACCCUUUUUUUUUUGUGAUUGUGUGUUGAGCGUAUGCAUACAUGCAGCCUUUUACCCUCGUGAUUUCAGGUGCAUCUGCGAGUCCCAGGCCUCCGUUCGGAAGCGCUGAUGAUCCGAGAGCGAAAGUGUGCCAUCGGGACUUCAUGCUGGCGAAUACUAAUUUUUAUUUCACAUGACACUUUUAUAGAACUUCUUCAAAUAUGCAUUUGUACUUUCCAGGACAGUCGCCUCGCAUGCUGCCAGAUUGUUAUUUCUUUCUGGAGCUUGCGAUGAGGGUAAUGAUGCAUGGUGUCACUCUCACUUUCAGGACCAUCUACCGCUUCCUCAGGAUUACGAAUGGAUCCGCAAGUGCUUGGUAUGAUGUCAAUGUUUGACCUCUCAUGUUUGCUUUGAACGACACGGUUGGUACAUCUUGUGAAACACCAUAAUUUUGAGCUGUGUGACAGCACACACAUAAGAGGCAUAGGAUGAAAUGCUGCCUGGGCUUGUUUUGUGUCCUGUGGCACUGUUCAACAUUCUGCUGUUUGUAACGAGCGAUUUCUUGCCAGCAUGAUUCUUUACUUUUUCAAGAUGCAUGCAAUGCUAAAAGACGCCAGCAUGGUGGGCUUGAACGUGACUCGCUAAUUAGAAUUAUGAGGCACUACUCACUUUCAAUUGUUUUGUACGAGCAUCGCAGAUAUGUUGACAUAACUGAUCUUGAUGUGCAAAUAUUGUUUCAGCCUUUAUGGAGAGGAUAUUGUCCACACUGGAUACAAUUAAGGUUCUACAACAGACGCACACACAGCUCUUGGCCGAACUUAAGACAAAUGCUGAAGAAGUAUGCCCAGAGAGCCACACGCUUCCCUAUCUGCCAUUUUUGACCGCAAGAGACAUGGUUGAUUGGGAUGCUGAACUUGGGGUCAACAAGGAAGCAAAGCUUCGAAUGGCAAUAAAGCUGUUUGCCUUCAUUUUCUUAGUUUUCUGCAAAACAGGAUACAGUGCAAGCUCUUUUUUUUCACUGCGCGUUGUUCGUAUAACGCUCGAGUGAUUUACUAAUUAUUGCUGAUCUCAUUUUCUGCCAGAAAAGACACAUGGUGGUCCAAGGUGGCGACACCAUAAAGCAGAAGACUGCACGCAUCUUAAAGAGCAUCAUGUCUUGGGAUGUAGCAAAGGUUUGGCGUAAAAGGAAAUAUGAAGUUUUGCGAGCUGAAUGCUUCCAAGCUACUGUGCAGCAAGUCUUCUGCUACAAUAUUAUCACUUUCGUUGUCUGCAUUGUCAUAGCUCAUUUUCCUCGUGCCCUUGACACUUAUUUCCUUAUGCAGCCUGCCUGAUAGAAAACAUCAAGCGGAAUCAGGAGGAGGCUACGUUGAAAAACAUCGAAAAGGCAGCCAUGUCUUGGUUCCGCCAUGCUGCAGAAAGGGCAGCAGCAGGGCGACAAAGGCAGCAAAGACCACUGAAACUUCAGAACAGGAGAACGAAGCCCUCAUUUGAGACAGUGCACAUUAAUUAUCGCUCAACUUUGCAAUAAAAACUUUUGGUGAUCACUUCCUGUUGUAUUUUUGUUUCUUGGUUUCAGAAGCGCUGGGUAGAUUUCCCAUAAUUGCCAUCCCACGAGAGAGUGCAGCAGCUAACAAAAGAAAAAGAAACAAGAAAUCCCAAUAACCUUCCAAAAUUGUGUGAUCUGGGAGAUCCCAAUAACCUCCCAGGAAGGUCCCAAAACCCUCCCACGAAGAUCCCAAUAACCUCCCAGUCUGGGACAUCCCAGAAAAGUCUCUUUUUGUAUCACUUGAGAUGUUAUGGGGCUGUAAAUGGGACAUCCCUGGGAUGUACCUAUAUCCCAAGUCGGACAUCCUUAUGACAUCCUAAGGAUGUCUUUGUGUCAUCUGGGGAUUUUAAUAUGGCUCAUGCGCUUGGCUUUUCACGUAUGUAAAUAUAGUAUUGUAUCAGAAGUACACCUUUAGUUGGAAGUUAGCGCUUGUGUAUGUCAUUCCCAAUCUGUCUCGUCCCGUUUACGCACUGUUAAGCCUCUAUAGCACAAUGGUGCUGGGGGCGGGCGGGGGGCAACCUAAUAGUAACAGCAGUGCGGAAAAGCCCACAUCCAGCAGUUUCGCAUGUCUGCUAAAUCCACGACCGCUGGCAGCCUGGGGCGGCAGUGGAAAUAACGUUCAGUAGUAACGAGAACUGGGAUAGUUCGUAUAUUUGCUGUAUACGCAAUACAGGGGUAUCGGGCCGAAAAUAACUAUUCUAUAAAAUAACUCGGACUAACUAUUCGCAUAGGCAUUCGAAAAGUAACUAUUCAGUAUUUUUGAAUAUUUGAAACUAACCAAAAUGUUGCAACAAAUGAUUGUUAAAGUCUUGUCACCGUUAUCAGUCUGCUAUACACAGUAUCUCAAAUAAUGACCAAAU